UUAACAAGGGUCCCGUGGAUGUAAUCACUUGCAAAGCCCUGUACACACUUAAUGAAGACUGGCUGUUGUGGCAGGUUCCGGAAUUCAGUACUGUGUGUCGUCAAAGGAAAUGCAAAGUACUCCCUAUUCAGCACUUAUAAUUGCAAUCAGAAUUUCUCAAAUGGCUCUGCUCUGGGAAGACAAUGUGUGAAGAUAUAUUUCAAUCAAAUUGAGGCCGUCUUAUUUUAGAAUGAUAACACAAGACAAAUUCCACCACGUUCCCCAUGCAACGUGACGCCCUUUAUUUUCAUGGAUUAGUUACAAAUGUUUGGUGUCAUGCACUUAAUGUACUGUGAUCUCAUAGAUAUUUUUAGAGGAACGCUGUAAAUCACUACAGGAAGAUGAUUGCCUAGCUGCUGGAGGGUUUCACCCGCUUGAGAACUUCUUUCUAAUUCAUCCCCACCGCACCCACCCCAUGCUCUUCCUAAAGAAAGAAAGAAAGCCCAGUUUGGGGCACAUUUGGGAAUUUCAGAGAGGGAGCCAAGCAGGGAAGGUAACUUUAGAAUUAGGAAUUUUCUAUGCUUUUCUGUUAGUAGAGACUUGGAGAAGAGAUUGCUGUGUUUUGGUUUGAUCUUUAGCUUUAUGAAGAUUCUGGGCUUCUUCACGAUCUCGUUAGUGGAGGAGGAAAAGAUUACAGUGGGGUUUGGGAAUUGCUCAUUAAGAGAGCUGAGUCUUCUGUGGCUUUGCUCUGGAUGGUGGGGACUGCAGUGUCAUCUGGGAAGAAUUCAUUCCCUAAUUGGAGAAGGCACCACUUUGCCGUGGAGCGUGUUAUGGUUAUGUCCUCUGGUGGGAGAAUAGUCCGUAGGUCAGCUGUUUCAAGUUUUCUGCCACUGCCAGAUGCGGCUCACUUCUCCAUCAAAGAUGGCACCAUGCACAGCUGCCAUCCGAGAGCGGGAAGCUGAGCUGAAAGUCAACACUUCUCAGCGUUCUGAAUUGUAUCAAUACACCCAUCCACAUCUGAGAGGCCGGAGAGUGGGCUGCAUUGGUUCUCAAACUUGAGCAUCUAGCAGAAUCGCCCAGAAAGCUCACUAAACACCAGUCGCUAGGCAGCAUGCUGGAGUUUCCGAUGCAGUAAAUCCAGGCUGUGGCCUGAGAAUUCACUUCCCUAACCAGCUUCCUGAUGCUGCGGGUGCUGCUUAACAACUGUUGGUAGAGUGGUUAACAGCAUGGACUCUGGGGCCAGACAUUUUGGAAUCCUGCCUCUGCCACUGGUUAGCUGUGUAAUGUUGGGCAAGUUUCUAAACCUCUCUAUGCCUCAUUCUCCUCACAUGUGAAAUGGAAAUGAUGGUCAUGGUUCCUACCCAUCUCAUGAGGUGUUUUGAGGAUUAAGAGUCAGUAUUAUAAAAAGCACUUAGAACAUUGCCAGGCAUGUGAGUGCUACCUAAAACUUUAUUCCAUUUGAUCCAGAUCUCAUUGAACCCUUGUUUAAAAUGCAGGUGCAAAUAUACCAGUGCCCGGGCUUUCCCUCGGGACUGACUGAAUCAGAAUCUCUGGGGAGGGAGCCCAGGCGUGGAUGUAUUUUGUAAACCUUCCAGAUAUCUCUGAUGUGUGUUCAGCCUGGACACCACUGGGUAUCUUGGAGAACAAGAGACAAACUUUGCACAGGGCCUGUUGACUCACCUUUCGCUGAUCCUGGGCUUGUUAUUCCUAACCUAGAAGAUGUUCAUGCCUUUACUUUAAGACGUUUUAGAAGCCCCAAAGGUCUCCAAAGAGAAAUAUUUGCAAAUGAUUAUAGUCGGGAAUCCUCCAGCAUUUCAGUCAUGAGACAACACCGGACCCAAACAGGAAAGACAGGAAAGGAGAAGAUGGGUUGGAAUCAGGAAGAGGUCAGAUGUCUGAGGCAACUUUUGAGGUUUUGAAGCCUUUUUAAUGCUUUACAUCUGAACGUGUUUUCUCCCUUUCAUUUCGAAACAUUAUUUAUUUCACAGUCAAUUAAGACCAUGUGUUUCUGAUUUGUUAACACUCGACUCAUCAUCAUAAUGUUACUUGAUGCUGAAGGAAUUCAUGUCGACUCUUGAAAUUUUUUUUUCUUUAUAGCCCCUGGGGAAAAGGGUAAUGGAAAAUCAUGAUUUCAGAAAUCCACAUAAAUCUUCCUUUUCAAAUUCAGAUUUGCCGGUACAUAAGAUUUGAGCCUUGAAAAGGAAUGGGCCACUUGUUUUUAGGGGCCUUGCCUUUAAAAAUGAUUGUUAGUGCCUCUUAUGGGGCCUGGCCCAGCCCCCCUUUCAUGGUUGGCAGUUGUACGAGAAGCUGCAGAGAAGGCACAUGAUCCGUUCUAUGCUUGUGUGACAAACUGUUAGCAGAAGGUCAAUAUAAAAAAUUUAAGUUUUUCAUUUCCUUUCAGGCAUUUCCCCCAGCCUGAACCACCAUAUUUCUAAUUUUCUUUCUUCCUCCCUUCCCUCCUCCCCUUCUUUUUCACUUCCCCCACCUACCCCUCCCAAGCAUGUACACCCAGCCAUUUUAGGACUUGAUUUCCCAAAUUUGCCUGAGGUGGUUUAUGUAAUUGAAAACCAAGGUGCGGUGAACAAACUGAUUCUGUGUGUCCUUGUGUGCUGGGGAGGUGGGAGGUUGGGGGCAGAUUCUUUCAAGGAAAGGAAAGUCGGAAAUCAAGAGCAUCCUCACGAACCACUUGAAAUGACAGAACCUGGUGCCAAGGCAGGGACACGUUUGGAAAAAAGGCCCCCACACUCGUGUUCAGCUAAAUGCUCAGAAGCACAGCACCUCAUAUAGCAAUCUAAAAGUUAGCUUUCACACCUCUCAGAUGAGGAUGUGUUCUCCCUGAGGUGUGGGGGAUUUUCUAGAACAUAAAGGCAUCUUGCCAAUUUCUUAUACAUGAAAUCAUGACACUAACAAAGAGGCCCUGGGAAGUAAUGUUCUCUUCUUGCAUAUUGAGAAGAAAAUUCCUCUGUCUUGCCAAAAAUCCAAGCAAAGUCCCCUAGAGCCAUACUUCCUCCAGGACCAUAAGAAACCAUCCUUCUCUAUCAAGCAUUCCAGGCUGGUGUUUAAUGAGGCAACAGUGAGACAGAAUGCCCUGAUAUCUGCAUCCUCCCUAAUGUCAGCACCAGGGGUAGGGCUGUGCACACACAGGACUUUAGUCUUUCCUUAAUAUCUA
rnacentral:lncRNA from 10 species